rnacentral:rRNA from 1 species
GACGAACGCUGGCGGCGUGCUUAACACAUGCAAGUCGAACGGAAAGGCCCUGCUUUUGUGGGGUGCUCGAGUGGCGAACGGGUGAGUAACACGUGAGUAACCUGCCCUUGACUUUGGGAUAACUUCAGGAAACUGGGGCUAAUACCGGAUAGGAGCUCCUGCUGCAUGGUGGGGGUUGGAAAGUUUCGGCGGUUGGGGAUGGACUCGCGGCUUAUCAGCUUGUUGGUGGGGUAGUGGCUUACCAAGGCUUUGACGGGUAGCCGGCCUGAGAGGGUGACCGGCCACAUUGGGACUGAGAUACGGCCCAGACUCCUACGGGAGGCAGCAGUGGGAAAUAUUGCGCAAUGGGCGGAAGCCUGAUGCAGCAACGCCGCGUGCGGGAUGACGGCCUUCGGGUUGUAAACCGCUUUCGCCUGUGACGAAGCGUGAGUGACGGUAAUGGGUAAAGAAGCACCGGCUAACUACGUG